GACGAACGCUGGCGGCGUGCCUAAUACAUGCAAGUCGAACGAGUGGCGGACGGGUGAGUAAUAUAUCGGAACGUGCCCAGUAGCGGGGGAUAACUAAUCGAAAGAGUGGCUAAUACCGCAUACUAUGGGAGGGGCCGAUAUCGGAUUAGGUAGUUGGUGGGGUAAGGGCUCACCAAGGCAACGAUCCGUAGCGGGUUUGAGAGGACGACCAGCCACACUGGGACUGUGACACGGCCCAGACUCCUACGGGAGGCAGCAGUGGGGAAUUUUGGACAAUGGGGGAAACCCUGAUCCAGCCAUCCCGCGUGUAUGAGAAGGCCUUCGGGUUGGAAAGUACUUUUGGCAGAGAAGCGGUAUCUGCAGAAUAAGCACCGGCUAACUACGUGCCAGCAGCCGCGGUAAUAC
rnacentral:rRNA from 1 species